GGGGAUGAUCGGCCUAGACAAUAAGAUAUAUUUGCAAAAUGCAAGAGAGAGCCGUAGUGACUCUUAAAUCCGCUAUAAAAGAUAACUGUAAACAAAGUUGUCGCAAAAGCUCAGUCCGUUGUAUCUCCAUAUUUUGGAGCCAAUGACUUCGCUUUCGCUUACGUUAGAACUUAAAAGCUAACCUGAGCGACGUCAAAUUCUCUAACGUCUCAUAGGAGAAAUUUGGUGUAAUAAACUGAGACUCUGAGAAACAGCCGCUUCGCUGUUUCUCGAAAUGUAGAAGCUCGAUGUUUUAAGAUUUUGUUUGUUCCUCACUUAAAACAUUUAAACAAUCAAAACAAACUACCUCUUGUAGAAAUUUUUCAAAUCUCUUGUUGCAUGCGAGUUCGAUUCUCGCCAUCUCCACAA
rnacentral:tmRNA from 4 species